UAAAUAAGUGGCCCAACAAAUAAAUAAUUUAGGGAAGAAAAACAACCCCAAUUCCAGGAUUUAUUAAUCCAUAUACUCCACCUACCCACAGUCAGUUUCUAUCUCUAUCAACCUAUUCAAUCUCCUUCUCCAAUUUCACAAAUUAGGAAAAAAAUCUCUCUUCCCAGUUCAAGUUUCCGUCGACCCGCCACCCUACCGGCGCAGCCUCCGCUUCCGUUUUCGCCUCCGGCGGUGUUCCCUUCCUCAUCCUCAUAUCUAUCUCUCUUCUCGGCUUUCUCUCACUCUCCUCUCCGUUUCCUGCCGUCACCGCCAGCAUGCACCGCCGACGCCGACUCCCUUCCAGAUCUGCUGCCGAUUUACGAAAGAUUCUAAAUUAGGAAAACAGUGACGAAUUUUUGGAGCGUGGGCUGUCACCGUCGGCGACGGAGUGCCGAAACUUAGUCGUCGGAAUUUUGGCAGAAUCCUAUUUUGGAGAUAAGUUUCUUGACUUGUUUUAACUAUGGUUGUAGGACUUGGGUUGGCUAUUCUAUGGAUUUGGUGACUUGAAUAAUGUGUUGUUACUCGGAAGACUCAUGGUGUAACAAGUUAAUUUCACUGUGUUGUUAACAUUGGGCAGAUUCCUAUUGUCAACUAAUAUAUGCAUGCUUCGUACAUAAAUGUAAAGGAAAACAAGGGUUUGGGAUUCACCUUUUUAUGUGGAAAGUAAAGUGUUAGGGCUGUAGUGUUUGUGUCUACAAUUGUGUGCCUCCCUGCUAGGGACUCCUCUUUUCUUCGUGGGGUUGGUGUGUGCAGAGAAAUUUGGAUGUGUGAUGGUGAUGUGGGUGAGUGAAAAAGAAAUGAUUGUAUAUCGGACUCCUCUUUUCUUCAUGGGGUUGGUGUGUGCAGAGAAAUUUGGAUGUGUGAUGGUGAUGUGGGUGAGUGAAAAAGAAAUGAUUGUAUCUCUACGUGUAUGUAUAAAAGAUGGCUGUGAAAGUGGCGUUGGCAGCAAGUUAUGGCAGCAAGUUGCUAACAUUCUUCUCUUAAUCAUUCUCCUUUGUCAGAAGUUUUGAUAUCCCCCUCUAUCAUUAAAUGCAGUAUUAAAUGCUGCUGACAGAAGAUUGAUCCUGCAGGACCUGCCCAUCUCUCUUCUUCUUUUUUUAUUUUAUUUAAUUAUUUAAGUAAUUAUUUGAGUAUUUAUUAAAUUGUUUAUUUAAUUUGAUGUAGAUAUAAUCGGUUCAAGUUCGGGGCCGUCCGCGUUGAAGUACCCGCUUUCUUAGAUCGUGGGAUGUAUUAAUUUUGUUGGACUUUUGUUGGAUGUAUCGGACAUUAAGAUUUUAAUUUUGAGAUCUUAUUUAUUUAUUCAUUUAAAUUUAUUA